rnacentral:rRNA from 1 species
CCUACGGUGGGCAGCAGUGAGGAAUAUUGGUCAAUGGGCGGAAGCCUGAACCAGCCACGUAGCGUGCAGGAUGACGGCCCUAGGGGUUGUAAACUGCUUUUAUACGGGAAUAACGCGCCUUACGUGUAGGGCUUUGCAUGUACCGUAUGAAUAAGGACCGGCUAAUUCCGGGCCAGCAGCCGCGGUACUACGGAAGGUCCGGGCGUUAUGCGGAUGUGUUGGGUUUAAAGGGAGCGUAGGCCGCAUGUCAAGCGUGCUGUGAAAUGUCCGGGCUUAACCCGGGCCUUGCAGCGCGGACUGGCGUGCUUGAGUCCGCGGAAAGCAGGCGGAAUUCGUCGUGUAGCGGUGAAAUGCUUAGAUAUGACGAAGAACCCCGAUUGCGAAGGCAGCUUGCUGCAGCGGAACUGACGCUGAUGUGCGAAAGCGCGGGUAUCGAACAGGAUUAGAUACCCGGGUAGUC